rfam:Thermincola sp. JR, complete genome.
UUAUCGGAUGCCAAGAUUGCCGAUGCCCAGGCCGGCUAUGAAUCAAUGAUGACUUUACUGGCGACCAGUGCAACAGGCAUUAACUUUGUACUGCAUACAG